rnacentral:piRNA from 1 species
UACAAAUUCGGGAAUUUUCUUGGUGCUAU